UUCGUAGCUCAGUUGGUCAGAGCGCUGCGCUCACAUCGCAGAGGCCGUAGGUUCAAAUCCUGCCGAACC
rnacentral:tRNA from 1 species